UCUACGCACUCCUACGGGAGGCAGCAGUGGGGAAUAUUGCACAAUGGGCGCAAGCCUGAUGCAGCCAUGCCGCGUGUAUGAAGAAGGCCUUCGGGUUGUAAAGUACUUUCAGCAGUGAGGAAGGUGGGUAUGUUAAUAGCAUACUCAUUUGACGUUAGCUGCAGAAGAAGCACCGGCUAACUCCGUGCCAGCAGCCGCGGUAAUACGGAGGGUGCGAGCGUUAAUCGGAAUUACUGGGCGUAAAGCGCAUGCAGGUGGUUUGUUAAGUCAGAUGUGAAAGCCCGGGGCUCAACCUCGGAAUUGCAUUUGAAACUGGCAAACUAGAGUACUGUAGAGGGGGUAGAAUUUCAGGUGUAGCGGUGAAAUGCGUAGAGAUCUGAAGGAAUACCGGUGGCGAAGGCGGCCCCCUGGACAGAUACUGACACUCAGAUGCGAAAGCGUGGGGAGCAAACAGGAUUAGAUACCCUGGUAG
rnacentral:rRNA from 1 species